AUGCCCGCCACCGAAAAUGCUGCCGGCGAGGCCUGGGACCGCCGACGUGAGCUGCAGGCGUUCGACGACACCAAGGCGGGCGUCAAGGGCCUCGUCGACGCCGGCGUCACGGCCCUCCCGCCCAUCUUCCGCCACUCGCCGGAGUCCCUGGAGGGCAUCACGUCCUCAAACCAUGACGCCGCGGCCAUCCCGACCGUCGACCUAUCGGCCGCGCGGCGCGAGGACACGGUCGCCCUUGUGCGGCGCGCGGCCGCGACGGUGGGCUUCUUUCAGGUGGUCAACCACGGCGUGCCGGCUGAGCUCAUGGCCGGCAUGCUCGAGGCCGUGCGCCGGUUCAAUGAGGGGCCCGCCGAGGCGAAGCAGGCCAUCUACAGCAGGGACCAAGCUCGCAAGGUGCGUUUCGCCUCCAACUUCGACCUCUUCUCGUCGGCGGCGGCCAACUGGCGCGACACCCUCUUCUUCCACCUCGCUCCGGACCCGGCACCUUCCCAAGACCUGCCCGAGGCUGUGAGGGACGUUGUCACCGAGUACGGCAAGGCGGUGACCAAGGUGGCGCUGUCCGUGCUGGAGCUGCUGUCGGAGUCCCUCGGCCUGAGCAGCGACCACCUGCGCGAUAUGGGCUGCGCGGAGAACCUCAACGCGGUGUGCCAAUACUACCCGCCGUGCCCGGAGCCGUACCUCACCUGGGGCACAAAGAGGCACACCGACCCGGGGUUCCUCACCGUCCUCCUGCAGGACGGCAUGGGCGGCCUUCAGGUGCUCGUCGACCGCAAGACCUGGGUGGACGUCCCUCCGGUGCCCGGCGCUUUCAUCAUCAACAUCGGCGACCUUCUUCAGCUUGUCAGCAAUGACCAGUUCAGGAGCGUGGAGCACCGGGUCCUGGCCAACAAGAGCAAAGACACGGCGAGGGUCUCCGUGGCGUCCUUCUUCAACACCGACAUGGAGAGGUCGACGAGGCUGUAUGGCCCCAUCACCGACGGACGCAACCCCCCUAUCUACAGGAGCGUCACGGCUCGGGACUUCAUCGCGACGUUUAACCGCAUCGGCCUCGAUGGUCGCUCGCUCGACCACUACCGGUUGGACCAGGAUACUCCUGCACAUGCUGUGGAGGGGUCUGAAUGA
rnacentral:rRNA from 1 species